AAAGCCUGGCACAAACAGGGCAGCAGCAAGACUUACAAGAAAGACAAGCAGGGACGGAGGUUUGUUAAAAUGCAGCUUGCAUGGCAAGACUGAAAAUCAUCUCUUGUUUCCUUUGGACGUGACUGCAGUGUAGUGAGUUUGAGGGUCUCAGGUCAGAAUUUCUGCACUGGAUUAACGCAGUGAUGAAACCCUGAGGAGGAAGCAAGGAAAAUCAAGAAAUUUUCACAAUCCCUUUUUGUGCCAGGAAUAAAGCUGAAGGUGUUUUUCAGCUUUAUUCUGUCUCACAAGAUUUUGAGUCAAACAGGAGCAAAAACUAGAACUUUAAAGGCAUGAAAGCACUUAAAACUUGAAACCCAAUUGUGACUUGCAGUUUUCUAUUUUAUGUAAAUGCUUGUGACAGCAUGGUUGUUUUAUGUUCUCCUGUACUUGAUAAAGUCUAAUAUGUCACUUCAAGUUAUUUUCAUUUCACUACUCAGCUGUUAAAGAAACCUUUUUCCCAUCUUGGUGCACAAUGGGCAAAUAAAGAACUGGAUUUUA